UACAGAGGUCUCGAGCGUUGUUCGGAUUCAUUGGGCGUAAAGGGCGCGUAGGCGGCGGGGUAAGUCUGGUGUGAAAUCUCGGAGCUCAACUCCGAAAUUGCACUGGAUACUGCUCUGCUAGAGGGCUGGAGAGGAGAUCGGAAUUCACGGUGUAGCAGUGAAAUGCGUAGAUAUCGUGAGGAAGACCAGUGGCGAAGGCGGAUCUCUGGACAGCUCCUGACGCUGAGGCGCGAAGGCUAGGGAAGCAAACGGG
rnacentral:rRNA from 1 species